rnacentral:SRP_RNA from 1 species
AGCCCCAGGAGGAAGGGGGGACUGCUAGCAGCGUAGGAUUGAGGAGUUGGAAGAGACCUUUAGAACAGCUGGUCAUUAUGCCGACCGGGUGCCUGCACUAAGUUCGGCAUCAGUGUGGUGACCUCCUGUGAGCGGGGGGGUCACCAAGUUGCCUAAGGAUGGCUGAACUGGCCAAGGUCAGAAAGGGAGCAGGUCAGAACUCCCACAUCGACCAGUAGUGGGAGUGUGCCUGGGCGGAAUAGCAAGAUCUUGAUUCUUAAAAGUAAAAAUAAAGAACAACAGCUCAUUGCU